rnacentral:rRNA from 1 species
UACGGGGGGGGGCAAGCGUUGUUCGGAAUUACUGGGCGUAAAGGGCUCGUAGGCUGCCAACUAAGUCAGACGUGAAAUCCCCCGGCUUAACCUGGGAACUGCGUCUGAUACUGGACGGCUUGAGUAUGGGAGAGGGAUGUAGAAUUCCAGGUGUAGCGGUGAAAUGCGUAGAUAUCUGGAGGAAUACCGGUGGCGAAGGCGGCAUCCUGGACCAUUACUGACGCUGAGGCGCGAAAGCUAGGGGAGCAAACGGG